rnacentral:rRNA from 1 species
GAUGAACGCUGGCGGCGUGCCUAAUACAUGCCAGUCGAGCGAACGGACGAGAAGCUUGCUUCUCUGAUGUUAUCGGCGGACGGGUGAGUAACACGUGGAUAACCUACCUAUAAGACUGGGAUAACUUCGGGAAACCGGAGCUAAUACCGGAUAAUAUUUUGAACCGCAUGGUUCAAAAGUGAAAGACGGUCUUGCUGUCACUUAUAGAUGGAUCCGCGCUGCAUUAGCUAGUUGGUAAGGUAACGGCUUACCAAGGCAACGAUGCAUAGCCGACCUGAGAGGGUGAUCGGCCACACUGGAACUGAGACACGGUCCAGACUCCUACGGGAGGCAGCAGUAGGGAAGCUUCCGCAAUGGGAGAAAGCCUGACGGAGAAACGCAGCGUGAGUGAGGAAGGGCUUCGGAUCGUAAAACUCUGUUAUUAGGGAAGAACAUAUGUGUAAGUAACUGUGCACAUCUUGACGGUACCUAAUAAGAAAGCCACGGAUAACUACGUGC